rnacentral:rRNA from 1 species
GACGUAGGAUGCGAGCGUUGUCCGGAUUUAUUGGGCGUAAAGAGUUCGUAGGCGGUUCGUUAAGUCUGAUGUUAAAGACUGGGGCCCAACCCUGGGAGUGCAUUGGAUACUGGCGGACUGGAGUGCAGUAGAGGCAAGCGGAAUUCCAGGUGUAGCGGUGAAAUGCGUAGAUAUCUGGAAGAACACCGGUGGCGAAGGCGGCUCGCUGGGCCAGUUCUGACACUCAUCCGCGAAAGCGUGGGGAGCAAACAGG